UGGGGAAUUUUGGACAAUGGGCGCAAGCCUGAUCCAGCAAUGCCGCGUGCAGGAUGAAGGCCUUCGGGUUGUAAACUGCUUUUGUACGGAACGAAAAAGCUCUCUCUAAUACAGGGGGUGAAUGACGGUACCGUAAGAAUAAGCACCGGCUAACUACGUGCCAGCAGCCGCGGUAAUACGUAGGGUGCAAGCGUUAAUCGGAAUUACUGGGCGUAAAGCGUGCGCAGGCGGUUUUGUAAGACAGAUGUGAAAUCCCCGGGCUUAACCUGGGAACUGCGUUUGUGACUGCAAGGCUGGAGUACGGCAGAGGGGGGUGGAAUUCCACGUGUAGCAGUGAAAUGCGUAGAGAUGUGGAGGAACACCGAUGGCGAAGGCAGCCCCCUGGGCCUGUACUGACGCUCAUGCACGAAAGCGUGGGGAGCAAACA
rnacentral:rRNA from 1 species